rnacentral:rRNA from 1 species
GAUGAACGCUGGCGGCGUGCCUAAUACAUGCAAGUCGAGCGAACAGACGAGGAGCUUGCUCCUCUGACGUUAGCGGCGGACGGGUGAGUAACACGUGGAUAACCUACCUAUAAUACUGGGAUAACUUCGGGAAACCGGAGCUAAUACCGGAUAAUAUAUUGAACCGCAUGGUUCAAUAGUGAAAGACGGUUUUGCUGUCACUUUUAGAUGGAUUCGCGCCGCAUUAGCUAGUUGGUAAGGUAACGGCUUACCAAGGCGACGAUGCGUAGCCGACCUGAGAGGGUGAUCGGCCACACUGGAACUGAGACACGGUCCAGACUCCUACGGGAGGCAGCAGUAGGGAAUCUUCCGCAAUGGGCGAAAGCCUGACGGAGCAACGCCGCGUGAGUGAUGAAGGUCUUCGGAUCGUAAAACUCUGUUAUUAGGGAAGAAAAAAUGUGUAAGUAACUAUGCACGUCUUGACGGUACCUAAUCAGAAAGCCACGGCUAACUACGUG